rnacentral:lncRNA from 1 species
UAGAAGACAAAACUGUAAGUACGAUAUCCAUGUUUCUUUUAUAACAAUAAAUCAAACUUUUCAAUAGUUCAAACUCAGUCUUUUAAUAACUUUCACUUCAACUCCUAUUGUAAAUUCAGAUAUAAAGCAAGCACCAUACAAUACCGCAAUGAUCACCAUUAAAGAUUUAAUAUGAUAGUAUAAUGAUAAAAUUAUAUUUUCAUUAGGAAAGGACUGAGUAGACUCAAUUUCUUUUUUUUUUUUCUCGUUGUUAAUAUAUUGAUAUUUUUUAUAUAUUUUCAACAUAAAAAACAUCAAACUACUUCAAAAAAUUCAAAAGAUAUGAAAAUAUUUCGUCAUUGUACAUACACACGGUCAUGUGGAUCAUUGUUCGUUAGUCAUUUUGUCUAUGACGUUUCAAAAGGAUAAAUGGUGGAGUAAUCUCGAACUUAAACAGAUUCAAAUUACCUGUAUUUUUUUAAUUCGUCUUACACAUAACCAUUCAGCUCUAAGAGAAAAAACACACCAUUCUAACAACAACAACAAAAUCGACAAAUGAGUCCAAGGAUCUAAAAUUACCUUUGGCAUUACGUCAUCUAUUUAAGUCUAGGAUUACCAUAGUUUUAUGUUUCCAAUAAAUGACGUAAAUCCUUAUUGCGCAGAAUCCAUUUUUGGUAUCUUUCGACUUGUAUAAAACGCAAAUCAAUCCUAAUAUAUUUAUCGUUGAAUCUGCAAAGAUCAUAACUGUAAGCUUAACAUUUUUUAACAAUUAUAACGCUAUAUCUAUAAUGUAAACAAGUCCUACUUAUCGUAGUUAUUCUGUACAAGUUAUUGUUCAUUCAAGAUAAAUUCUUUUUGACAAAACAUGUUUUUGAAUACAAAAAAAAUACUAAAUAUUCUUUAAAAGAUUAUUCAAAUACAUUAACUUAUUUUUUGUAACAUUUUUAUAUAUACUGUGUAUUUAAGGUUAUUGGAAAAUUGUUUCAAGUUUUUGAUUGUUAUGAUUUCGUUUUGUUUCAGUGCAAGACAAGCAAUGACCCUCUCAAUGAUCCGGUUAGCCGGAUUUAGAAUCAUUAAAAAUGGUAAAGCGAAAUUAUUUCAUUUGUUAUAAUCCAAAACAACCAUCCUUGUAUUUAACGGACGAACAUUUUGUCUGUAGAUAUUUAUUCAUGUCUACUGCAAUUUAGGCAACACACUUAACCUUAGUUUAAAUGAUUGGCUUUACACACAUAUGUCGGAUUAAGUAUAUUUAUAAUUUUGAUAAAAUUUAUGUUUGAUCAUUGCAAGAUUAGUGCAGUUAAUCAUAAACAAAAGUUACCUUUUUUCCUGCAUAUUAAAAAAAAAAAAAAUUAUGAAAAUAUUUUAAAGUUUCCUUUAUAUUGUCUCUUCUUUACUAUAUUUAAGCUUUCUUUCAACAAUUAUUGCAUUGAAUUCAUUUUUAGGAACGAUUGGGCGAAUAUCAGAGAGGAGUAUAAAUAAACAUCAGUUGCCAGGUACAGUUAUUUUCCCUCUUAAUAAUACUUCCGAGAUUUGUUGCUGAACUUAUUUGAAAGUUAAGGGUUAGCAAUUUUUAUGCUUCCACAGUAGGAUUUCGUCUCAAAAUUGGUUGAUCAAUUCUUCUUGUCAGAUAUUGAUGUACAUCGAAUCGGAAGAUUGCACAUCAUAUUGGUUACACACAAACAUUCAUUGGUAUCCAUCAUCACAUAAAAACAGGCAUAUUAGAAGUCAUGACACUUUGAAUUAUUUUUCUAAUUUGUUUUACCAAGAAGUUUAAACAUAGUGGAUAAGUUGAUUUAGUGUAACAAAGAUUCGGAGGUCAUUUAGUACGAUAACAUUUAGUACUAUAACAUGUUUCAAAUUUAUUUGCACCUACAUGAAUAUAUUAAAACAUUAAUGUAACUAUAAGGGAUGGUAUACAACAACAAAUGAUGUUUAAUAGUGUACUUAGUAUAUAUCGACACAUACACCAGGCAAAUAUUGAUACCUACACAGAGAAAUAUAUCACAGCAAAAGAGGGUUGAAAUAUACUCAUAAGUCGAAUAUAGGCUAAAAAAGACAAAGUCAAGGAGAUAAACAAAACCACAUAAAACACAACAUAGACAACUAAUGACAAAUCAACACGAACCCCAACAAAAUUUGAAGGGAUCUCAGGUGUUCCAAAAAGGUAGGCUCGUUGUGUUUAUUUUUAGAAUAAAUCUUUUAAUAUUUGGGAAAAUAUUUAAGUUGUUCCAAUCUAUUCCAAAUGACUUAAUAAAUAUUACACCAAAAAUUAGAUAAUAAAAUGUACAAGUGAACGUUUGCGUCAUAAAUAUUCAAUGUCAGUAUACCCAAUUUGCAUGUAAGUGUAAGAGCAAAUACUUCUCGGUUUUUGAAGACAAGAUAAUGAGUCCGGGUGAGGUGACAUGUUUUCCUGUGUUCUUUUACCACAUUGAAAUAAAUACAGAUUUUGUUACUUUCCAACUUGCAAAAAUGACUAAUUCGUCAAUUCUUAUGAUGCUCAUUUCUGUUGAUGUUGCCAUUGAGUACUUUAUUAUACUAAAAUACAGAAAUCAAAAUAUAUUGAUAAUUGUAUGAAACAUCAUUUUAGAAAUAUGAUAUAUUACCAUAAUGAAUACAUGAUUUUACUGCCAGUAUUAAAGCUGCUACUAAUAUUAUAUUUGAGAGCAACCUAUUCAAAAUUUAUCUCAUCAUAAUAUAAGAAAAUGGCAAACACAUCGCCAAAGAAAUCAGAGUGAAACUACAUAUCAUAUAAAUUUAAGUUAUUUUUCUUUUUUGUGUCAUUUGUAGGUGGCAGACAAUUUACAUCUGCAAUGCGUGACAAGGCAUCCGAGCUUGGAUCGUUUGUCUUUGAUAGUCAUGUGUGGUGUGCCUUUUUAUCGUCUGGUGCGGGAUGGUUCGGCUUGAGAAAAUUUGUAUUAAAACUGUA